UGCGUAGGGCGCAAGCGUUGUCCGGAAUUAUUGGGCGUAAAGAGCUCGUAGGCGGCUUGUCACGUCGGGUGUGAAAGCCCGGGGCUUAACCCCGGGUCUGCAUUCGAUACGGGCUAGCUAGAGUGUGGUAGGGGAGAUCGGAAUUCCUGGUGUAGCGGUGAAAUGCGCAGAUAUCAGGAGGAACACCGAUGGCGAAGGCAGGUCUCUGGGCCACUACUGACGCUGAGAAGCGAAAGCAUGGGGAGCGAACAGG
rnacentral:rRNA from 1 species